rnacentral:lncRNA from 1 species
AUGGUCAUCCAGUCUGCCAUUCCACAGAGAUCAUUUGACAUGGGAAAGAAGGUAUCAUUUUGCCCAUUGCCCAAAGGAUGGUGUCAGAAGGACCAGAAGGCAUGAGGUACCAAAAAAAGGGGCUCAGGGCUAGAACUCACUGUUUCUCAUGUGAUCGUUGGGAUGGAUGGAUCGUAUGCGGAACCCGCCAAACGUGCCCUCAGC